GGAGGGGCUCCAGGCCCAGAGGUGCCGCCUGAGCUGGGGGGCCCUGACCACAGCCACCAUGCAGAGAGCAGGUCUCCAGAGAACCUGUCCCCAGAGACCACAUGGAGGUUUUGAGACCCUGUGCCUGAGGAGUGAGCUGAAGGUCAGGAGCUGCCAGUGGCCACAAGAUCAAGGUCCCUUUCCCCCAGUAUCCCCUGGGCUGGAGCAUGAUGGGUCCUUCCCUAAACACACCAUGACCAUACUGGCUCUUGGAUGGUAGCUGAGAGCUCAGGCUCUGGCAUCGGGUGGGCGUGAAUCCUCAUUCCAGCUGUGAGAGC